UUCGAACCCUCCAAAGACAAUUUUUUCUGGAACAUUUUAGAAUACCAGAAGGUCAAGCUGAAGCAUACUUUAUCAUCCAAUUUUUACAGAUUUAAUGACGAUAGCAUGUUUGUUGUAAAUGCUGUUUUUGGACGACAUAUUGUUCUUAGAUAUGGAAUUCUUAAUCCACCAGCCUAUCACUUUAAUAGACCAAGCGUGCUGAAUUUAGGUUCCGUAGGAUAUAUAAUUUUGCAUGAAAUUGGGCAUGGAAUAUCUAUGGUACUCGGUA